GAUGAACGCUGGCGGCGUGCCUAAUACAUGCAAGUCGAGCGAAGGAACGAGUAUCUUUUCUCUCUGAUCUUAUCGGCUGACGAGUGAGUAACAGAUGGAUAACUUACCCAUAAGACACGGGUAACUUCCGGAAACAGAAGCUAAUGCAGGAUAAUAUUUUACACCGUAAGGUCCCAACGUCGCAUGAUGCAUUGCUGUAAACUACGGUUGUAUACGAGCUGCAUUCGCUAGUUGGUAAGGUUACGGCGUAACAAGGCUACUAUGCAUAGGCGCCCUGAGCGGGUCAUUGGCUAGCCUAGAACAGAGACAGGGUCCAGACUCCUACGGGGGGCAACAGCAGAGAAUCUUCCGCGAUGGGCGAGAGCCUGACGUAGCAAAGCCGCGUGAGUGAUGAUGGUCUUCGGAUCGUAAAACUCUGUUAUUAGGGAAGAACAUAUGUGUAAGUAACUGUGAACAUCUUGACGGUACCUAAUCAGAAAGCCACGGCUAACUACGUG
rnacentral:rRNA from 1 species